rnacentral:rRNA from 1 species
CCGUGAGGUGUUGGGUUAAGUCCCGCAACGAGCGCAACCCCUGUCCUUAGUUGAAUGUUCUAGGGAGACUGCCGGGCGAAACCCGGAGGAAGGUGGGGAUGACGUCAAGUCCGCAUGCCCUUUAUGUCCAGGGCUACACACACGCUACAAUGGCCGGUACAACGGGUCCCGACACGGCGACGUGAAGGCAAUCCCUUAAAGCCGGUCUCAGUUCGGAUUGCAGGCUGCAACUCGCCUGCAUGAAGUCGGAGUUGCUAGUACCGCAGGUCAGCACACUGCGGUGAAUACGUUCCCGGGCCUUGCACUCACCGCCCGUCACAUCACCCGAGUCUGGUGCUCCCGAAGUCGCUGGCCGAACCCGUAAGGGACGGAGGCGCCGAAGGAGUGCCCGGUAAGGGGGGUGAAGUCGUAACAAGGUAAC